UCACAUCCCCAGUUCAGUUGAGACCACCCACUAAGCUUAAGCAUAUCAAUAAGCGGAGGA
rnacentral:rRNA from 1 species